AUUGCUGCCUGCAUCAACCCUUGUGAGCUGCGGUUGCAAGUUUGAUUUUGUCAGGCAUUUCACACUUAUUUCCCAUAAUAUCAUCAACUCUCAAGACAGACAAUCUGGUUUUCCUCUUGCUGUGUUUAAUCUCACCAUCUGUGAGGAACAAGUUUGAAAGUAUGGCACCAUCGUUAAACAAAAUGUGCAGAACUCUGUAUCAACAAUAUAUAAGGAUAUGGCAGUAACACAAAGCUCUCACUGUUGCAUGGACUGAGAAAGGGAAAAAUGUGUUUUCUAUUUUCCUGACAAUGAAAAAAAACCCGACAUGGUUUAGGAGUGUGGAACCUCCAUCUCUUAAGUGAACUGUUUGUAAUCCCUGUUUUAAUAAAAUAAUGACAUGUAUACUUAUAAGUAUCAUAACUAUACCAAUAUAGUAGUAUUGUAGGGGCUGGUGAUAUGUUUCUUCAAUCUAUAGUGUGUAAGUUUCAAUUUAAUUAUAGUAAGUAAUGUAUAUAUUUGUAAGCCGUCCCGAGGCUUUUUGCGAAGGGGGCGGCACAAAAACGCUUUAAAUAAAUAAAUAAAUAAAUAAAAUAUUUCCAUUUUUCUCCAAACUUCCUGUUUUGCUCAGAAAAAGAAUUUUGAAAAGAUUUUUGUUAGCCCCUUUCAAUAGCUACAAAAUUUUAGGAUGUUUCCCAAUAAAUGGAUUCACUGCAUUAAAUUAUACAAGAACAUAUUUUCCAUCACAAAAUCUUAAAAUAGCAGAAUUGGAAAGGGCCAAAGUGGCCACUGGAUCCAACCCCCUGCUGUUGCAGGUCACCGAUUUACACCAUCCCACUCAGAUGACUGAUCAGUUUCAUCACUGCUAUGCUGCAGAGAUUGGGUAUACAGUAAGACUCUUGGUGAAGCUGUGUCAAAUCCUUCUCUAGAAAACAGUGACAGCUAUGAGUACAUUACAUAUUCCAGGUGGCUGCCACCAGGGGUGGGGAAAGCCAGAGGCUUCUAGCUCAGUCAAUCUGAAGUGCAGUAGUUUUGAUUUCUAAAUUUCUAUGCAGUCUUGUUUAUUUCUAUUACAUGUCAUGUGCUUGGAUAUCUAUGAAGCAUGAAAUUCAAGAAGACUCAUAUGUGGGCAUCAAACCAGGCAAGCAUUAUUUUGUUUGGUUCUUCCUUUAAAGUUAUACAAAGACCUCUGGGUGUUUGCAGCUCAGCCUUGCUUUUGUUCAGGAAGGUUCAUCAACCAAGCUCAACUGGAAGCAAUAAACGCUGAAUAACUCAUUAUGUUCAUCAUGAAUUUAUGGCAGUGUUUAGUAACAACAGCAAAGCAUCAUUUCUCCUCUUGCAAUCUGAUUCAGAGUGGAAGACAAAGGGGCAAACAAAUUGUUCCAAAAGCUAUCCGUGUUGCAAAGCAAUGAAAAUAUAGUUCCAAAUGUGUUGUCUUUUGUACAACAGCCAGCAAGCAGUUACUGCUUAGAAAUCCUGUUAUCAGCUAGGUUCAGAUCAGGUGGAAACCAAAGUGCGGAGGGAGAGGAGGGAAUGAGGUCAAAGAGAAAAGGACCUCAAAGUAAAGAGAGAAAGUGGUCAUAGAAAUGGAAUUGGCCCAUGUAAGGAUCUUUCCUCCUAAAGUCCAGAUCAUUUGCAUAGACUGCUGCAGAGACAAUAUUAGAGCAGCCAAGCAUCUCUCUGUAAACAAAUCUUAUCAUGUGGAGUAACAAUGAACACAUGUAGAGGGAAGUAGCACUGUGGCAGCAGAAUCAACCCCUGACAUCUUGCCAGGCCUAGUUCCAGUGCUGCUGUGAGCACUACAGUUUCGGAAUCAGAAUCUGAUGCAGAAAGGUCUGGCGCCCAGGGCAGUCAUGAGAUGCUUGGAAACUGAGAGCUGGAGUAUGCCUGACUUCCCAUCUGAUUGCAGGUGGAAGAAGGGUGCUACUCCCUAUCAGCCACAGCUACAAGAUUGAACCAUGAGUCAGAGAUCCGAUUUACAGUCUGAGAAAUCUUGUGUGGGAAUGGAGAAUUAGGAAAAAUCUGCAGGGGAAAAGGCCAGCAAUGUGUGUGUGUGGGGGGGGGGGGCACCUAGUUGAGGCAUCAAAUGAACAGGGCAUAAUGUUAUGCAUCCUGCUAAUAGGGUGGCUUUUAUACAAAUCUAAUAACUAAAUCAAUGGGCAGCGCAGAGAUGCUUUAAAUACAGUGCUUGCUUAUGCACCUGAUUCCUGUUAUGAUAGACUACCAGAAGGGAGUUUUUAGUAGCCCCUCCCCUGCAGUCAAACUGAUGCAGAAAUAUGGAGUUGUUGCUGAAAUCAACUUCUUAAGUGCCAAAAAUUUUUUUUUGCCUGACUUACUGUGCAUCUCACAAUUCUGUCUGCUUCAAACCAUGUACCAUUAAGACUCUAUGCACUGCUGGACAUUGGACUCUGUGAGCUUCCUCGCCUAGGGACCUUCCUUUGAAGGAAGCAACACACCUUUUACUUAUGCCACCUGAUUUAUCAGGACAGUAACAGGAAAUCAUUGCCAUGAACCCUGCAAGGCUGGUCUCUGCUACCUCAUCUGCUGUAAUAGAGUUUCACUGUUCUUAGUAAGCCGUGCCAACACGCCAGAAAGCUGGAACUAAUACAGAUUCAUUAGAACAAUUCAGCAGAGCCGUCACACAUAGCUGCAUGCUGAAAGGCUGUCUACAUGUAACUGGGAAUACUGGGGUUGGGGGUCCCUUGAGAUAAUAAAUGUAUCUGUAUGUGUGUGUGUAUGUGUGUGUGUAUAUAUAUAAAUAUAUAUUGGGGACCUACUGCCACAAGACCACUUACCUACUCUGUGAGAGUUUUUAUCCCAAUGUGAAUAUAUGAAAAAGACUUGUUAUCUGAACCCAGAUGGGAAGUUAAACAUGAUCACUGGUUUUCUUAUAUGAAUGAUGUUAAAAAUUCAGAGAUAGAAUAUUCUCUCAGUCCUCUCAGUUGUGGGGUAGAAAUAACCUCUGUCACUAGGUCUGAGGCAAAAGAUGAUCUUUUAUUUUAUACUAAUAAUUAGAUAAACUAUAAUAGAGUUCAUAAAUUUUGUGAAAAUUAUAAUUUUACCCUGAUCCAUAACACAGACAAACAUGGGGUCACAUCUGCAUUUGCCUGGCAGCACAACACUUUGCCUUAUCUGAAGGGGGAAUCGUUCCAAGCAGCUCCCUCCAUCGAACCUCAAUAGCCUUUCAUGAGAGACCAGCUGGAGUUGGCUCCCCCAACUCUCAGGAGCAUCAGGAUUGCCACAACAAAAGGCAGGGUUGUAGAUUUGUGCCCCGGUGAAAUUUCCAUGGAAUGACACCAGGAAUGUUUUCUCACAACAUCUGCAGCUUAAAAGUGAUUCUAUUGACGUGUGCUUGUUACAAUUCAUUUCUGAGUAAUGGGGACUUUUCUUCCAAUUGGAAUUGCAUGUGGAGGUUUUAUUUAUUAGAUUUGAAUCAAGCACAUGGGGAUCUUAAAUUUUUUUAAAUCAAGCUAAGAAUCCUCCCACUACACUAAACCUCUCUAACAUACACACACCCCUCUUAACAGGCCCUAUCUUGUCUUUGGCCCAUACUUCCUUAAUCCAUCUCCCACAUAAACAAUGUCUCUUUCAUCAGAAAUAUAUUCAACACUUGAUAUAAAACCACUAGCCCCAACAGAUCCACUAACAUUGCCCAGUAAAACAAUGUAAACUCAUCGACCAGUGGCUCAGUACCAGGACAGAUGCUUCAGUGAUUACUAGUGAAGACACCAAAGAGUAUCAGAAUUUAAUCAUCUAAACGUGUUAUGAAAGGCUUUCCUAGCAGGAUAAUGAAAAUAGACUGUUUAUGCUGAAAUACUCAAAAGCCAACAUUCUCAUUAGCACAAGAGUUUAAAAAAAUCAUUUUAGGAAUAAUACACAAUCAUGAAAAGAUCGCUAUUAUUAGCAUUCACUGUCAACACAAAGUGGGUUUAUUUCAUGGGAGUGUCCUUUGAGGGGGAAGAGAAUUCAGGCAAAAAAAGUGCUUCCUGUUGAAAUGUUUUCAUUCGUGAUUAAAUUGGGCAACUUAAAUGAAUGCUGGGCGGUGAAUUGGGCAGUCAAUGUUCCCACUGUCAGCUGACAAGUCUUAAAUGUUACGUAACCAGGGAAGCGACUCAGGAAUGAAACAUGACUUGUAGAAUCCACAGGGGCUCUGUGGUCAGGGCCAGAUUUGCCAUGCAACAGGAUGCAGUCAACUGCUUCAGGUGGCACCAUGAGGGGGUAUAGAUGAAAUCAGAUGAACUGACAUAUGACUGGUAAUGCAAGAUUUUUUAAAGUGUUGAUUCUAGCAGGGUGUUACCAUGAGUUCUGCUGUAAUUUUUAAUUCAUUGUUUAAUGAAGGAUGUCUUCUUAGAAAUUUUGCCUUUCACGGGUUUGUUCUGUAUAUCUGUUCAAUAUUGUUAAAAAUGUACAGUUUCUAACAACAAUAACCACCUGAUUCACACAACACAAAACCUGCUGUGCAUAACCAGCCUUGGUGGGUUAUUGUGUUGUCCAAACCCAGCACAGGUUCUGCCAGGUGGCUACUUUUUCAUCGAUCAGGUCACUUUGAGAGUCCACACCUUGUUUAUGGUUGUUCUUGCACACAUUAGGUUGUUGGGAACAGAUGCAGAGCCAUUUGGCAGGAGCAGCAGACCCUCCUGCCACUCCCUUUUGUGAUCUUGCCAGCGACCGGCCUUCCACAGACGCUGAAAUGGCAUUUUGGAAAGACAGUCAUUUGUUCCUUGGCUUCUUUUUCAUUUCUCAGUGCCUCAAAAAUACACAAGAGUGCAUAGUAAAAUUCUUAUAACUGUGUGUGUGAUAGAUUGUUUUUGCAAGUGCACACUUACAGCUAUUCCAUAUGUACAGUUGUUGCUGGUCAUCUUUCUUGUCUGGUUCAGCUGUCAAAGAGAGGAGACUGCUUAUGUGCAAAUUUCUGCACAGGAGGAAGGUGGAGGAGAACAAGUCAUAUUACUGUGGGCUGUUCAGUGACUUACUGGUUUCUUCACUGUGGCUUGUUCAUAUGGUGGCUUAGCAUGAAGUGCAAAGUCAUGCAACCUCUGAAGCUACAGGUUAAGAUGUUGCUUUUUAUUUUACUGCAAACAAUUGGAAAUUCUUUUAAUACUAUGCAGCAAGAGAAUAUAUUGCAAUUGUUUGUGUUCAAGUGCAUUUUUAUUUUUCUAUUCUGUAUUCAGUGAUGUUAAUUAGUGCCCAUGAGGGAGGACAUGUUGAGCCUAUAAAUCUUCUGGAUGUGGAGUUCCUCUUGCCUUUUCCUAAAAGUCUUGUGUUCGCACUAUUAUGUGUUGUAGGCAUGCACAAACUGGCCCUCAGGUGUCUUGGCAUGCAGCUCCCCAUCUGCCAUAGUCAGCAUAGUCAAUUAUGAGGAUUUCUGGGGGUCUAGAACAAAACAUCUGGAGGGGUACAAGUUGCCCAUCUGUGAUCCACAGCUAUAGAAGAACUGACACAUUUUGGCUUACCUAACCAUUAUAGCUAGUUAUCGGAGCUUCCCUUGUCUUUCUUCUCCACCAGUGAUCCAUAAUAUUCAGGAAAAAGGUAUAAGCUUUUCACCCCAUACAGCCUGGGAUGUGGCUUCAAAGACACUUGUCUCCCAGCCUUAUUCUAUCUUAUCUUAUCUUAUCUUAUCUCCAAGUCCUUUGGAAGGAGAGAGACAUUCACUCACCUCAGGCUGUGCUGAGAUACUUUCAGAAGUGAUGAGGAUGAAGAUCUCUUGUCACCUCUAGCUGCCUGACAGCCCAACAUGAGUGAACUGCCAGUCCUUUGGGAGGAUGUAGGAGGAAAACCAUCACCUCCUCACCCUGGAAGCACCCAGCAUCUCUUGCCACUCCCAAGUCCAGAGCAAUUGCUUCUCUAUAAGAAGCCAUUACAAAGCUACCCAAUAAUAUAUUUGGUAUUACAUUUCAUUCCAAUUACAGGCCAAGGUGAUUUCUGUAGCCCCUUCACCCCAAGCUGGACAAUAUCACCAGACACACUCUCUGAGCGUGUUGCUGCUGCUCAAGUUCGCACAGAGAGAGACAGACACAAGCACAGUCACUCUUUAAUCUCUCAGUGUUUUCACCAUCACAUGGUUGAGCUUACAUAAACCACGUUCUAGUCAUUUCAGAUAAAGUCGUUCUCUUCUCGACCAGCACUGUUUCAAAGUACUUAUUCUUUUGCCCCUGUUGUUCCAGCGAUCUGAACUUUUAUCUCUACAAACAAAAUGAAAGAACUUCGAAAAUAGUAACUCUGAUAGCCCAACUUGUCUAAGAUUCCCUGCACUAAAUAUGCUUACUUGGCUGGCAGUUUCUUCACUGGAAUUCGUUUCCCGGAAUGGAAACUGCUGAAAGAAUGAAUCUCCACAUCACCCCAUUACAGUCUGUAAAUCAAGGAUCUGGAGUUACACAGGUGGAAUGAGAGCAAGAUCUCCUGUUGUUUGAGUGGACGUCUACUUGCACGAUGUUAGAUUCGUCUGUCUACAAAUGCAUAAACUACAGUAGUAAAGUACUGACUGCC